rnacentral:rRNA from 1 species
ACCUUACCUUUCCUUGCCUUAUCCGCCUAUAUACCACCGUCGUCAGCCUACUCUUUGAGGACCUCACAGUAUGCAAAAUUGGUUGUACCCCAAAACGCCAGGUCGAGGUGUAGCGAAUGGAAAGGGAUAGCAAUGGGCUACAUUCAAUAACCUAUAAUGAAAACGAACGCCAUUCUGAAAAAGAUGGCCGAAGGAGGAUUUAGCAGUAAGCAGAGAACAGAGCGCUCUCCUGAAGCUGGCACUGAAGCGCGUACACACCGCCCGUCACUCUCCCCAAGCUAGGCUACAUAUAUCACUAAUAAAUGAACAAUCGCGGAGGGGAGGCAAGUCGUAACAUGGUAAGUGUACCGGAAGGUGCGCUUGGCAAUAUUU